rnacentral:rRNA from 1 species
UGUAAGCGUAUACCAAAGUUGUUGCAGUUAAAACGCUCGUAGUCGGAAUUUGGCAGUUCCGGAUGUGUGCACGUCGUGUGCGCACUUCGCGGGGAUUGCUUUUGUGGUCUUGCGUAGGAUGAGGCACUUUUAUUAGUGAACGUCCUCACGCAACCACUUUUUACUGUGAGAAAAUCAGAGUGCUCAAAGCAGGCAUUUGCCGUGAAUGUAUUAGCAUGGAAUAAUAGAAUAGGACUUGGUUCUAUUUUGUUGGUUUGUUGGGACUGAGUAAUGAUUAAGAGGGACAGUUGGGGGCAUUUGUAUUUCGGUGCUAGAGGUGAAAUUCUUAGAUUACCGAAAGACAAACUGCUGCGAAAGCGUCUGCCAAGGAUGAUUUCAUUGA